GACGGAGGAUGCAAGUGUUAUCCGGAAUCACUGGGCGUAAAGCGUCUGUAGGUGGUCAAAUAAGUCAACUGUUAAAUCUUGAGGCUCAACCUCGAAAUCGCAGUCGAAACUAUUAGACUAGAGUAUAGUAGGGGUAAAGGGAAUUUCCAGUGGAGCGGUGAAAUGCGUAGAGAUUGGAAAGAACACCGAUGGCGAAGGCACUUUACUGGGCUAUUACUAACACUCAGAGAAGAAAGCUAGGGUAGCAAAUGGG
rnacentral:rRNA from 1 species